UACGUAGGGUGCAAGCGUUGUCCGGAAUUAUUGGGCGUAAAGAGCUCGUAGGCGGUCUGUCGCGUCUGCUGUGAAAACUCAGGGCUUAACCCUGAGCUUGCAGUGGGUACGGGAAGACUAGAGUGCGGUAGGGGAGACUGGAAUUCCUGGUGUAGCGGUGAAAUGCGCAGAUAUCAGGAGGAACACCGGUGGCGAAGGCGGGUCUCUGGGCCGUAACUGACGCUGAGGAGCGAAAGCAUGGGGAGCGAACAGG
rnacentral:rRNA from 1 species